rnacentral:rRNA from 1 species
UGCAAGUCGAACGAUGAUGCCCAGCUUGCUGGGUGGAUUAGUGGCGAACGGGUGAGUAACACGUGAGUAACCUGCCCCUGACUCUGGGAUAAGCGUUGGAAACGACGUCUAAUACUGGAUAUGACUGCCGGCCGCAUGGUCUGGUGGUGGAAAGAUUUUUUGGUUGGGGAUGGACUCGCGGCCUAUCAGCUUGUUGGUGAGGUAAUGGCUCACCAAGGCGACGACCGGUAACCCGCCCUGAAAGGGUGACCCGGCCACACCUGGGACUGAGACACGGCCCCAGACUCCUACGGGAGGCAGCAGUGGGGAAUAUUGCACAAUGGGCGAAAGCCUGAUGCAGCAACGCCGCGUGAGGGAUGACGGCCUUCGGGUUGUAAACCUCUUUUAGUAGGGAAGAAGCGAAAGUGACGGUACCUGCAGAAAAAGCACCGGCUAACUACGUGCCAGCAGCCGCGGUAAUACGUAGGGUGCAAGCGUUGUCCGGAAUUAUUGGGCGUAAAGAGCUCGUAGGCGGUUUGUCGCGUCUGCUGUGAAAUCCCGAGGCUCAACCUCGGGCUUGCAGUGGGUACGGGCAGACUAGAGUGCGGUAGGGGAGAUUGGAAUUCCUGGUGUAGCGGUGGAAUGCGCAGAUAUCAGGAGGAACACCGAUGGCGAAGGCAGAUCUCUGGGCCGUAACUGACGCUGAGGAGCGAAAGCGUGGGGAGCGAACAGGAUUAGAUACCCUGGUAGUCCACGCCGUAAACGUUGGGCGCUAGAUGUAGGGACCUUUCCACGGUUUCUGUGUCGUAGCUAACGCAUUAAGCGCCCCGCCUGGGGAGUACGGCCGCAAGGCUAAAACUCAAAGGAAUUGACGGGGGCCCGCACAAGCGGCGGAGCAUGCGGAUUAAUUCGAUGCAACGCGAAGAACCUUACCAAGGCUUGACAUACACCGGAAACGGCCAGAGAUGGUCGCCCCCUUGUGGUCGGUGUACAGGUGGUGCAUGGUUGUCGUCAGCUCGUGUCCUGAGAUGUUGGGUUAAGUCCCGCAACGAGCGCAACCCUCGUUCUAUGUUGCCAGCGCGUUAUGGCGGGGACUCAUAGGAGACUGCCGGGGUCAACUCGGAGGAAGGUGGGGAUGACGUCAAAUCAUCAUGCCCCUUAUGUCUUGGGCUUCACGCAUGCUACAAUGGCCGGUACAAAGGGCUGCGAUACCGUAAGGUGGAGCGAAUCCCAAAAAGCCGGUCUCAGUUCGGAUUGAGGUCUGCAACUCGACCUCAUGAAGUCGGAGUCGCUAGUAAUCGCAGAUCAGCAACGCUGCGGUGAAUACGUUCCCGGGCCUUGUACACACCGCCCGUCAAGUCAUGAAAGUCGGUAACACCCGAAGCCGGUGGCCUAACC